rnacentral:rRNA from 1 species
UACGUAGGUGGCAAGCGUUGUCCGGAUUUACUGGGCGUAAAGAGCGCGCAGGCGGUUGUGCAAGUCGCGUGUGAAAGCCCCCGGCUCAACUGGGGAGGGUCACGCGAUACUGUUCGACUUGAAGGCAGGAGAGGGAAGUGGAAUUCCCGGUGUAGUGGUGAAAUGCGUAGAUAUCGGGAGGAACACCAGUGGCGAAGGCGACUUCCUGGCCUGUUAUUGACGCUGAGGCGCGAAAGCUAGGGUAGCAAACGGG